rnacentral:rRNA from 1 species
AUACGGAGGGUGCAAGCGUUGUUCGGAAUCACUGGGCGUAAAGGGCGCGCAGGCGGUUUGGUAAGUCAGAUGUGAAAGCCCACGGCUCAACCGUGGAAGUGCAUUUGAAACUGUCAGACUUGAGUACUAGAGGGGAAAGUGGAAUUCCCGGUGUAGAGGUGAAAUUCGUAGAUAUCGGGAGGAAUACCGGUGGCGAAGGCGACUUUCUGGCUAGAUACUGACGCUGAGGCGCGAAGGCGUGGGGAGCAAACAGGAUUAGAUACCCCGGUAGUCC